rnacentral:rRNA from 1 species
UACGGGGGGUGCGAGCGUUGUCCGGAAUCACUGGGCGUAAAGGGCUCGUAGGCGGCCAACUAAGUCGGACGUGAAAUCCCCAGGCUCAACCUGGGAACUGCGUCCGAUACUGGAUGGCUUGAAUCCGGGAGAGGGAUGCAGAAUUCCAGGUGUAGCGGUGAAAUGCGUAGAUAUCUGGAGGAAUACCGGUGGCGAAGGCGGCAUCCUGGACCGGCAUUGACGCCGAGGAGCGAAAGCCAGGGGAGCAAACGGG